ACGCUCGACACCUAUGGGAGGCAGCAGUGGGGAAUAUUGCACAAUGGGCGAAAGCCUGAUGCAGCAACGCCGCGUGAGCGAAGAAGGCCUUGGGUCGUAAAGCUCUGUCCUCAAGGAAGAUAAUGACGGUACUUGAGGAGGAAGCCCCGGCUAACUACGUGUCAGCAGCCGCGGUAAUCUGAGCGGGCUGGCAAGGC
rnacentral:rRNA from 1 species